rnacentral:rRNA from 1 species
CAAGACAACUUUACGGAGUUGACGAUUGACGGAGCGAAGCGACGUCAAAGCGUUCAUUAAAGUCGAGUUGGCUUAGGGAUACGUUCGUUGGGUAGGGGAGCGUUCUGUAAGCCUGUGAAGGUGUGUCGUGAGGCAUGCUGGAGGUAUCAGAAGUGCGAAUGCUGACAUAAGUAACGAUAAAGCGGGUGAAAAGCCCGCUCGCCGGAAGACCAAGGGUUCCUGUCCAACGUUAAUCGGGGCAGGGUGAGUCGACCCCUAAGGCGAGGCCGAAAGGCGUAGUCGAUGGGAAACGGGUUAAUAUUCCCGUACUUGGUGUUACUGCGAAGGGGGGACGGAGAAGGCUAUGUUGGCCGGGCGACGGUUGUCCCGGUUUAAGCGUGUAGGUGUGUGUUCCAGGUAAAUCCGGUUCACUUUAACACUGAGGCGUGACGACGAGGCACUACGGUGCUGAAGCAACAAAUGCCCUGCUUCCAGGAAAAGCCUCUAAGCAUCAGGUAACACGAAAUCGUACCCCAAACCGACACAGGUGGUCAGGUAGAGAAUACCAAGGCGCUUGAGAGAACUCGGGUGAAGGAACUAGGCAAAAUGGUGCCGUAACUUCGGGAGAAGGCACGCUGACACGUAGGUGAAGUGAUUUACUCAUGGAGCUGAAGUCAGUCGAAGAUACCAGCUGGCUGCAACUGUUUAUUAAAAACACAGCACUGUGCAAACACGAAAGUGGACGUAUACGGUGUGACGCCUGCCCGGUGCCGGAAGGUUAAUUGAUGGGGUCAGCGCAAGCGAAGCUCCUGAUCGAAGCCCCGGUAAACGGCGGCCGUAACUAUAACGGUCCUAAGGUAGCGAAAUUCCUUGUCGGGUAAGUUCCGACCUGCACGAAUGGCGUAAUGAUGGCCAGGCUGUCUCCACCCGAGACUCAGUGAAAUUGAACUCGCUGUGAAGAUGCAGUGUACCCGCGGCAAGACGGAAAGACCCCGUGAACCUUUACUAUAGCUUGACACUGAACAUUGAGCCUUGAUGUGUAGGAUAGGUGGGAGGCUUUGAAGUGUGGACGCCAGUCUGCAUGGAGCCGACCUUGAAAUACCACCCUUUAAUGUUUGAUGUUCUAACGUGGACCCGUAAUCCGGGUUGCGGACAGUGUCUGGUGGGUAGUUUGACUGGGGCGGUCUCCUCCUAAAGAGUAACGGAGGAGCACGAAGGUUGGCUAAUCCUGGUCGGACAUCAGGAGGUUAGUGCAAUGGCAUAAGCCAGCUUGACUGCGAGCGUGACGGCGCGAGCAGGUGCGAAAGCAGGUCAUAGUGAUCCGGUGGUUCUGAAUGGAAGGGCCAUCGCUCAACGGAUAAAAGGUACUCCGGGGAUAACAGGCUGAUACCGCCCAAGAGUUCAUAUCGACGGCGGUGUUUGGCACCUCGAUGUCGGCUCAUCACAUCCUGGGGCUGAAGUAGGUCCCAAGGGUAUGGCUGUUCGCCAUUUAAAGUGGUACGCGAGCUGGGUUUAGAACGUCGUGAGACAGUUCGGUCCCUAUCUGCCGUGGGCGCUGGAGAACUGAGGGGGGCUGCUCCUAGUACGAGAGGACCGGAGUGGACGCAUCACUGGUGUUCGGGUUGUCAUGCCAAUGGCACUGCCCGGUAGCUAAAUGCGGAAGAGAUAAGUGCUGAAAGCAUCUAAGCACGAAACUUGCCCCGAGAUGAGUUCUCCCUGAGACUUAGAGUCUCCUGAAGGAACGUUGAAGA